CCUUGAGCCGCGCUCGGGGCCGCAGCCCCGGUGAGGGGUUGGCGAUGCUGCGCGGUCCCCUCGGCCUCCCCGGGCUGAGUGUUUCAUAAACAGCAUGGGGAAGGCGAGGCUGCCCACAUAAUACACUCCAUAUGGGCUUUAUUUAUAGUUUCCAUCCGCUCUCGUAGGCUAAUUAAAACCAUUGAGGCAAUCAGCGAAAUUCUCCAGGACCUCAAGUACGAUUCGGAAGAAGCCGAGUGAUGGAUGUCCCCGUGGGAACGGCUGGAGGGGCCGGGCAGUGCAAUGGGGGCCCCACGCGCCAUUCCCGGCCCCCGGCGCAGCCACACGGGCACCCCCAGCACCCUGCAAGAGGGGACCAGUGUGGGGCUGGUUCUGCUUCCCGGCUGCACCAAGGAAAACCACAACGUGCAGUGCCAAGUGCUGGGAUCCCCAUGGAGAUGGGCACUGCCUUCACUGCCAGCUGGAGCCCCAGGGGCAGCAGCCCCCCAAAAGCACCCCCAGCCCCGGCACAGGUCCAGUGCCUCAAUAGUGCUCUUUCUAUGGUCAUCCGAAAUAAACCUGCCCCAUAGAGCUGGCCUGAGCUGUGUGGUCUAACAGGCUUCUCUGUGUCCCCCAGUGCCACCCCCUCCAGCUUGUCUCGGUCUCUGGGCAUGGGGUGACAACGGACACGGGUCCCCUUUGGCUGCGGCUGCAUCCCCAUCCCCACACCGCUGCCGCUGACGCAGACCCUGGUGGGGUUUCAGAGGUUUAUUGGCAUUAAGCUUAAAUCUGUUCCUAAUUGACUGAAAUGGAACCAAAAUAAGGCUGGUUUGAAUCAACAUUGGAGCAGGCACUGGGCAAACCCCAGCAGCCUCAACCCAGCCCAUGGGGCUCCCCAGCGAUGGACCCCCCCAUGCGCUCGCACGUGGGUCGCUGGGGAGAAAAGAGCCCAAAUCCCCUCCCAGGGCUGGGGGGGCUGCACCGAGGGUGGGGGACACCCAGGAGCCCCCCCUGCCCCUUUCAUCCCAGAGGCUGCUCCGGCUGGUGGCUAU
rnacentral:lncRNA from 14 species